rnacentral:lncRNA from 1 species
CCGCCCCGGAAAAGCAAGGCCGCCACAGUCUUUUCGGUCUGGAGGACGCCACGAGUCGCCCGCGCUAGCGCCUGGGGAUGUCCGCUGCAGUUUAUCCGCGAGGCGGACGUGGUCGUGCUGUCCCACCGAAUCAUGGUCUACACCGCCCCUGACUUCGGAAAGGGGAGGAAGGACGGACUUCUCGGCUCCUCCGGGCAUAGACCCGGCUGCAAGAAAAAGGGACUCCUGGUUCUUUGGACUUUCCAUCUACUCAUUUAACCCGUGGAACAACCUUAUGAGGUAGGUAUGACUUUGCAAGUCUUA